UGAUAGUGCGAAAUAACCUUUUAUAUAUAUAUAAAAGGUAUAUAUAUAAAAGGUUAUUUCGCACUAUCA
rnacentral:sRNA from 1 species